AUUGGAGUCUGCAACUCGACUCCAUUGGAAGUCGGAAUCGCUAGUAAUCGUGGAUCAGAAUGCCACGGUGAAUACGUUCCCGGGCCUUGUACACACCGCCCGUCACACCAUGGGAGUGGGUUGCAAAAGAAGUAGGUAGCUUAACCUUCGGGAGGGCGCUUACCACUUUGUGAUUCAUGACUGGGGUGAAGUCGUAACAAGGUAACCGUAGGGGAACCUGCGGUUGGAUCACCUCCUUACCUUAAAGAA
rnacentral:rRNA from 1 species